UUUGCCUAUAAAGCUAUUUGUCCC
rnacentral:siRNA from 1 species